rnacentral:lncRNA from 1 species
CCUUUUGUUUCUUCUUCUGCAUGAGUUGUUCUUGGUUAAAUUAGACAUAAACAAAAAUAUCCUUAAUCUGAUGAAGAAUAUAUCAGAAGUUCUUCUGAUCUGGCAGAUUUGUCCCUCCCUGUGGUCUGCCAAGAUCACAGAACUUAAUGACUGGCAUUGACUAGAACUUCCUUAACAGCCUCCUGAUCUUGUUCUUGAAGUCAGUGGGAAUGCCUCUUUUGUUUCAUUAUUUAGUAUAACUUUUAUUGUUUGGAUUGAAGUAUUUUCUUUUUUUUUUUCAAGGCUAAUUUCACUUAUGUUUACCAGUCUGUCUCUUUCUCUCUUUUGCACGUGCACACACACAUGUAGUACAAAGAAAUACUAUCAGUGAAUGGAGGCAAGUCGUUAAGUUCUGUAAUCUUGAUAGACCAGAGAGAGGGAUGAAUCUGCCAGAUCAGAAGAGCUCCUGAUAUCUUCUUCAUCAGGUAUUUUCAGGACUGCAGAGAUGAACAUUAGUGAGUCCAAAUAGAAGUGGUGAAGGGAGCAGAGAAGAGGAUGGGCCUGUUUCCCAGAGAAGUAGAAAUGACCAGUAGCUCAGGAGAAGAUGCUGUUUCUUCCGGUGGUGUGACUGUGGCCUAAGAAGGUGGAGGAGGAGAGGGAGGAAACCCAUCCAGAUCCUUGUAGGUUGGUGUGAAGGCAGGGCAGUGUCAGCAGCAGAAAUGGUUGACGUUGGUGACUUCAGGAGGUGGAGGGAAGAAAGUGGUUAUCAUGUAGCAGAGCGAUGGAGGACUGUGAAAUAAGAGACAGACUGACAACCUGCACCCUGAACAGGGAAAGGUCU